AACUUAAAUGGUCGUGUGGC
rnacentral:miRNA from 1 species